rnacentral:rRNA from 1 species
ACGGGAGGCAGCAGUGGGGAAUAUUGCACAAUGGGGGGAACCCUGAUGCAGCAACGCCACGUGUGGGAAGAAGCAUUUCGGUGUGUAAACCACUGUCGUGAGGGAAUAAUGCUUGGUCUCGGCCAAGUUGAAUGUACCUCGAAAGGAAGCACCGGCAAACUUCGUGCCAGCAGCCGCGGUAAUACGAGGGGUGCAAGCGGUGUUCGGAAUCACUGGGCGUAAAGGGAGCGUAGGCGGAGACGCAAGCAGUCUGUGCAAUACCGGGGCCCAACCCCGGACCUGCAGUCUGGACUGUGUCUCUUGGGUAGUUCAGGGGCAGGCGGAAUUCCUGGUGUAGCGGUGGAAUGCGUAGAGAUCAGGAAGAACACCGAUGGCGAAGGCAGCCUGCUGGGGUCUCAUCGACGCUGAGGCUCGAAAGUGCGGGUAGCAAACAGGAUUAGAUACCCUGGUA